rnacentral:rRNA from 2 species
GUAUGGCGCACCUAGAGAUAGGGCGUUUCCUUCGGGAACGCAAUGACAGGUGGUGCAUGGUCGUCGUCAGCUCGUGUCGUGAGAUGUUGGGUUAAGUCCCGCAACGAGCGCAACCCUUGUUACUAGUUGCCAGCAUUAAGUUGGGCACUCUAGUGAGACUGCCGGUGACAAACCGGAGGAAGGUGGGGACGACGUCAGAUCAUCAUGCCCCUUAUGACCUGGGCUACACACGUGCUACAAUGGACGGUACAACGAGUCGCGAACUCGCGAGGGCAAGCAAAUCUCUUAAAACCGUUCUCAGUUCGGACUGCAGGCUGCAACUCGCCUGCACGAAGUCGGAAUCGCUAGUAAUCGCGGAUCAGCAUGCCGCGGUGAAUACGUUCCCGGGUCUUGUAACACACCGA